GUGUGAUACUGUAUUAGGACGUGUCUAACCAUAACCACAGAUACAGUAUGGAAACUUACUACAGUGCUUACUUGUAUUCUGUAUUCUAGGACAGGAAUGUUGUUGUUCUAUGCAGAGUUGGUCCACCUGAAUGACUGUACUGCUCACUUACACCUUAAGCAAAGCGGACAGAGCUUUAUAUUACUGUGUGCUACUGACGUAUAUUACUGUGUGUUACUGACGUAUAGUUUUUUCCAUAUUCAUUGUAUUACACGUCAGCACAAAGUUAUCUUCUGUGCAGCUGUGAAUAUUGUGAAGCAGAAAUGUGUGUAAACUACAGGAGCCUGCUCACUAGAACCAUACUGUGACAUCAUCAUGCUGCCAGCUUACUGUACAUUUCUUCUUCUUAUACAGGAUCUGUGCCACAGGAGCUCCUGGCCAUGCCAACAGCUAACUUAGGGGCUGAUUCUAAGCUGAGAGUAAAGCAGGAGAGCAAGUAACUGUGCUCCUGGGUAAACCCAUGUUGUACUGCAGAGGGCACAAGAAGGACGAUUGGUCUAGCCUGGAGAGGAGAGUCUGAGCACUGGCAACUGGGUCAGUGACUCCUCCGCACACAGGGACAUCUCCCAGAGCCGCAGCUGGACGCACAAGGUGGACAGAGACAAGCUGGACAGCCAUUUACAGAUAUGACUACCUCAGUACUUCUCCGGAGAGAGUAGCUUGGGUCCAUCUCCCUGUGUAUCUCAUUCUAGCAGGUAAAUAGAAGGCAAAAUAUAUCUAGGUGUUGAUGCACUGCAACAUGCCAUCAAGCCCUGAUGCUGUUGAUACCGGUAGAGUAUACAGUACAGGGCGGACAAAGGUUCCUAGCAAGUCCUGGAACUACACACACCAGCAAGUCCUGCCUUGUGGUGGAGAAAGGUGUUAAGGAACAUGUAAUUAUUACAGAAAGUUAACCCCGGAACAGCGGUUACCCAGCUUCAGAAAGCAUGCUGUAGUCAGCGACAUGCAGGAAGUAGUGAUAGCGCUUACCAUCUAA